rnacentral:miRNA from 15 species
ACCUUUUAAUUUACUACUUGUG